rnacentral:lncRNA from 1 species
GUAUGGGGACGGCCCGUUUCACCCUCAUAUCGGACGGGGUAUUGAGGUUCAUGGUUUUAGCGCCCAUACCGGACGGGGUAUGGGGACGGCCCUGAAAACUGAUUAUGAAUGUUAAAGGUUAACGGGUAGCGGAACCCCUAUGGACCCCCACGGAUACUAGUAGGCUGGUAAAUGAGAAAAAGAUAUGUUGUACAAUGAUUGAAUUACAAGAGGCAUGAUAAGUGUUAUGUUUUACAGCUUAUAUUAUUCCAUGAUUAUGAUAAUGUUAUUGUUUUCUUAUAUUGUUUUCAUAAAUUCCACCGAGGUAAGUGGAUGGUAAAGGUUUUCAUGUUAAUAAACGAGUUUGUUGUAAAUUAUGCUCCAUUGGUCUUUUUGUGUUUUUCUACCCACCUUUACCUCCGUGACGGUGAGAU